rnacentral:rRNA from 1 species
GUGCCAGCAGCCGCGGUAAUACAGAGGUCCCAAGCGUUGUUCGGAUUCACUGGGCGUAAAGGGUGCGUAGGUGGCGGGGUAAGUCGGAUGUGAAAUCUCCGAGCUCAACUCGGAAAUGGCAUUGGAAACUGCUCUGCUCGAGGGUUGGAGGGGGGACUGGAAUACUUGGUGUAGCAGUGAAAUGCGUAGAUAUCAAGUGGAACACCAGUGGCGAAGGCGAGUCCCUGGACAACUCCUGACACUGAGGCACGAAAGCUAGGGGAGCAAACAGGAUUAGAAACCCGGGUAGUCC